rnacentral:rRNA from 1 species
UCCUACGGGAGGCAGCAGUGAGGAAUAUUGGUCAAUGGGCGCAAGCCUGAACCAGCCAUGCCGCGUGCAGGAUGACGGUCCUAUGGAUUGUAAACUGCUUUUGUACGAGAAGAAACAACAUUACGUGUAAUGUCUUGACGGUAUCGUAAGAAUAAGGAUCGGCUAACUCCGUGCCAGCACCCGCGGUAAU